UACGGAGGGUGCGAGCGUUGUCCGGAAUCAUUGGGCGUAAAGCGCACGUAGGCGGUCUGUUAAGUCGGAUGUGAAAGCCCUCGGCUCAACCGAGGAAGUGCAUACGAAACUGGCGGACUUGAAUAUGGAAGAGGGUCGCGGAAUUCCCGGUGUAGUGGUGGAAUGCGUAGAUAUCGGGAGGAACACCAGUGGCGAAGGCGGUUGCCUGGGGCUUUGCUGACGCUGAUGCGCGAAAGCGUGGGGAGCGAUCCGG
rnacentral:rRNA from 1 species